UGAGGGGGGCUGCUCCUAGUACGAGAGGACCGGAGUGGACGCAUCACUGGUGUUCGGGUUGUCAUGCCAAUGGCACUGCCCGGUAGCUAAAUGCGGAAGAGAUAAGUGCUGAAAGCAUCUAAGCACGAAACUUGCCCCGAGAUGAGUUCUCCCUGACUCCUUGAGAGUCCUGAAGGAACGUUGAAGACGACGACGUUGAUAGACCGGGUGUGUAAGCGCAGCGAUGCGUUGAGCUAACCGGUACUAAUGAACCGUGAGGCUUAACCUUACAACGCCGAAGGUGUUU
rnacentral:rRNA from 1 species